rnacentral:rRNA from 1 species
CCUACGGGGCGCAGCAGUAGGGAAUCUUCCACAAUGGGCGCAAGCCUGAUGGAGCAACGCCGCGUGUGUGAUGAAGGGUUUCGGCUCGUAAAACACUGUUAUAAGAGAAGAACGGCACUGAGAGUAACUGUUCAGUGUGUGACGGUAUCUUACCAGAAAGGAACGGCUAAAUACGUGCCAGCAGCCGCGGUAAUACGUAUGUUCCAAGCGUUAUCCGGAUUUGUUGGGCGUAAAGCGAGCGCAGACGUUUAUUUAAGUCUGAAGUGAAAGCCCUCAGCUCAACUGAGGAAUGGCUUUGGAAACUGGAUGACUUGAGUGCAGUAGAGGAAAGUGGAACUCCAUGUGUAGCGGUGAAAUGCGUAGAUAUAUGGAAGAACACCAGUGGCGAAGGCGGCUUUCUGGACUGUAACUGACGUUGAGGCUCGAAAGUGUGGGUAGCAAACAGGAUUAGAUACCCGCGUAG